rnacentral:rRNA from 1 species
CUCGCGUCUGAUUAGCUAGUAGGUGUGGUAAGAGCGCACCUAGGCGACGAUCAGUAGCUGGUCUGAGAGGAUGAGCAGCCACACUGGGACUGAAACACGGCCCAAACUCCUACGGGAGGCAGCAGUGGGGAAUUUUCCGCAAUGGGCGAAAGCCUGACGGAGCAAGACCGCGUGGGGGAGGAAGGCCUUUGGGUUGUAAACCCCUUUUGUUAGGGAAGA